rnacentral:tRNA from 1 species
UCCGUCGUGGUGUAAUGGUUAGCAUCAGCCGCUCUCAUGAGCCUGCUCCGGCUAGAUCCGGGUUCAAUUCCCGGCGACGGAA